AUCAUGCUGUCAGUUGCAGCAGAAGAAGAGAAGCUCCCAUCAGAUCACCUUCAAUACCAACCAUGUUCUCUGUAGCUCUGCUGCUGCUGCUGGCUGCUGGAUCCUGUGUAAAGUGUGAACAGUUGACACAGCCAGCCUCUGUGACUGUGCAGCCAGGUCAACGUCUGACCAUCACCUGUCAGGUCUCUUAUUCUGUUAGCAGCUACUACACAGCUUGGAUCAGACAGCCUGCAGGGAAAGGACUGGAGUGGAUUAGUUCUGAUACACGCAUCAAAGAUUCACUGAAGAACAAGAGUUUGGAGUGAGAUCAAACUGGACCAGACUCCCUCUGAGGUGAAAAGACCUGGAGAGAAAGUGAAGAUGUCAUGUAUCAUAUCUGGUUAUAGCAUGACAAGCUACAAUAUUCACUGGAUAAGACAGAGGCCAGGGAAAGCUCUGGAGUGGAUAGGAGAGAUGAACACAGGUUCAAACUCUGCUAUCUAUGGCAGCUCCUUUCAAAGUCGUUUCAUCAUGACUGAAGAUGUGUCCAGCAGCACUCAGUACCUCGAGGUCAACAGCCUGACAGCAGAAGAUUCUGCUGUUUACUUCUGUGCUUGAAGAGACGCAGUGACUGAAGACAGUGGAGCAGCUGCACAAAAACCUCCAGACAACAAACAGCAGUGUGAUCUCAAUGAUAUCUGUCUUUCACCACCUACAAAAGAACUUUCA